UUAGCGUUCGCACCCAACCCACCGUAGUGUGUAAACCACCGCCCCUCUCUCCCCCGGACCCCCACUCGCAAAUCCCCUGCCUGGAGCAGUGGUUAAAAGGCUGGCAGCCAAGCAAUUACGGUGGACACUGGUGUCUUGAUUUGCAAAGGAUACCCUGGUUCUGUUCCUGAAUUUGGGAGAAAAGCAUUGGCAACUCUGUGAAGCAGGAAGGUCUGCAGCAGGUGCUCUACAGGCGAUGCCAGUCUUCGUUGCCAGACAGUGAGCAGCGUCGUGCUCGAUCAGGGCCCUCUUCCUCCUCCUCAGCACCCCCCAGGGAGAGGCGGCGGUCCCGGCGCAAUAUGUCAUGAAUGUGAAGGCUGGGCUGCCCUGGGUUUGCUGGAGAACAUGGGGGCUCUGAGAGCACCUAUUCUGCACUCUCAGAUGUUAACUGAAGGUGUGAGACCUACAACAGCCAUCCUUUCUCAACAGCGCUCAUUAUGCACUGGAAUUAAAUACAGAGA